GGUCGGAAGUUCAAGUCUUCCCAGGCCCACCACACUCAUCGAGUGAGCAUUCGUCUUCUGGUUACGGGGCCAUAGCUCAGCUGGGAGAGCGCGUGCUUUGCAAGCAUGAGGUCGUCGGUUCGAUCCCGUCUGGCUCCACCAGAUGGUUUGAUCACCGAUUACUCAUACCGUCGUCCGCGAAACAUCACUUCGCACUUACUAGUCCGGAUGGACAGUAAGCUGCGUGAUUUCUGACAUCGUAAAGAGGAGAUCGAUCCGAGUUGGAUCGGGCAACAAGCAAUUGUUGCGCGAUACUUCAUUAUCUCCGGAUCAUUUCGGCGCUCGUGCGUCUUCCAGGGUAGCUCACAAGGCUGCAUUGAAAGACAAGCGAGUUGUAAAUGAUCCUUUUAGCGAAGCUUGACCGCCUCGCUAUCGGAACGAUCUUACGAAGCAAGCUGGUCUUUCUAAUCAUUGUCCGGCUGCAGAUAGCGUUCAUCGAGGGCGCGUACCGCAAGGGAGUUCUGCAGACAACAUUCUGCCGAGUGUGUGGACAUUGAUAAUGAGAGC
rnacentral:tRNA from 1 species